rnacentral:rRNA from 1 species
GACGAACGCUGGCGGCGCGCCUAACACAUGCAAGUCGAACGGAGUCAAGAGGAGCUUGCUUUUCUUGACUUAGUGGCGAACGGGUGAGUAACGCGUGAGUAACCUGCCCUGGAGUGGGGGACAACAGUUGGAAACGACUGCUAAUACCGCAUAAGCCCACGGAUCCGCAUGGAUCUGCGGGAAAAGGAUUUAUUCGCUUCAGGAUGGACUCGCGUCCAAUUAGCUAGUUGGUGAGGUAACGGCCCACCAAGGCGACGAUUGGUAGCCGGACUGAGAGGUUGAACGGCCACAUUGGGACUGAGACACGGCCCAGACUCCUACGGGAGGCAGCAGUGGGGGAUAUUGCACAAUGGGGGAAACCCUGAUGCAGCGACGCCGCGUGGAGGAAGAAGGUUUUCGGAUUGUAAACUCCUGUCGUUAGGGACGAUAAUGACGGUACCUAACAAGAAAACACCGGCUAACUACGU